rnacentral:rRNA from 1 species
GACGAACGCUGGCGGCAGGCUUAACACAUGCAAGUCGAGCGCCCCGCAAGGGGAGCGGCGGACGGGUGAGUAACGCGUGGGAAUCUGCCCUUUGGUGUGGGACAACCACGGGAAACUGUGGCUAAUACCGCAUGAGCCCGAGAGGGGAAAGCCGCAAGGCGCCGAGGGAUGAGCCCGCGUCGGAUUAGCUAGUUGGUAGGGUAACGGCCUACCAAGGCGAUGAUCCGUAGCUGGUCUGAGAGGAUGAUCAGCCACACUGGGACUGAGACACGGCCCAGACUCCUACGGGAGGCAGCAGUAAGGAAUAUUGGACAAUGGGGGCGAACCCUGAUCCAGCCAUGCCGCGUGAAGGAUGAAGGCCCUAUGGGUCGUAAACUUCUUUUACAGGGGACAAAUAUCUUGCUCGUGAGCAGGAUUGAUGGUACUCUGAGAAUAAGGGUCGGCUAACUUCGUGCCAGCAGCCGCAGU